GCUGGAGGACGGCAGCCUGAGCGUGGGCCGAGUCUCCGGGAACUCGUCCUGGAUUAUUUCUGCUCUUCGGGACCAUGGAUUGGAGUAAUAGACUCCUCUGAGAUGUGCUCUGCACGCUUUAAAGGCGCCGGCUGCGGUUUGAUCGUAUCACACCGGAGGCCUGCGUGUUAAACUGCACCACCUCCAUGCGCUGCUUUGACAAGAUCUUCAGGCUGGAGGGCGGCUUGGCUUUAGCUCCAACACUUCAGCCUGAAACGCACAAAGAAGAAUGGACACUUCAUUUAAUGGCGAUGUGUCUCCAGCCGUCCCCCUCCUCUGCUCGUCUGAAUGAAGACUUCCUCCAACACGCCGACCGUCGCUCUGCUAUUCUUAUCUCGCCGAGUGACAACAGAAGAAACUUUAAAUUGGGCCUCAAAGAAGCGACUGCCGAGGAGAGAAACGUCCGGAAGCUGAUUCCAGCUCACGGAACAGAAGCGUCGCGUGCAAAGGAUUGUGGGUAUUUUUGGAGGAUUAACGCGUCCUUUAAUAUCUUCCAAUUGAAGGAUUCAGCUCUCAGAAUAAUUCUGAGGAUCCUUUUUUAUAUUUCUGAGAGGACAGAUUUAGUACAUACUUAUUAUUAUAAGUAUUAGUAUUAUUUUACACAAAGAAAGUAUAACUACUAUCAUUAUUUUGGUGGAUUGAACUGGUCUGACGGGCUUUGAUUCACGUCCCGUUCACGUCUGAGAAAGACUAACAAAUAAAAAACAAAUUUCCG
ensembl:lncRNA